AACCUGGUUGAUCCUGCCAGUAGUCAUAUGCUUGUCUCAAAGAUUAAGCCAUGCAUGUCUAAGUAUAAACUUUUAUACGGUGAAACUGCAGACGGCUCAUUACAACAGUGAUAAACUACAGAACUUUCGAGCGUCUUUUUGGAUAACCGCAGUAAAUCGGGGCUAAUACAUAUAAACGGAAGGCGAUUGAAGAGUCCUUGCGAUUACUAGCUUAAACCAACCUGUUGAAACCGAAUAAUAUUGCUGAUCAGAAAUUCUGACAAGUUCUAUGUGUCACUGCCCUAUCAACUUGAUGGUACGGUAUUGGCCUACCAUGGUUGUAACGGGUAACGGGGAAUCAGGGUUCGAUUCCGGAGAGGGAGCCUGAGAAAUGGCUACCACUUCUACGGAAGGCAGCAGGCGCGCAAAUUACUCAAUCCCAAUACGGGGAAUAGUGACAAUAAAUACUAAUGUUCUUCCUUUAUGGAGAACAAUUGGAAUAAGUACAACGUAAAUAGCUUAGCAAAAGUAAUGGGAGGGCAAGUCUGGUGUCAAUCCACUGUGAGAAAAUUGUGGUGUUUAAAGCAGGCGUUCAGUCUGAUCAAUGCAGCAUGGUAUGGUAAAAUAUGACACUUCAUUUGUUGGUUAGUGUAAUGACUAAUAGGGAAGGGCGGGGCCGUUCAUAUUGAUGGGCGAGAGGUGAAAUUCGUUGACCCUAUCAAGAUGCACUACAGCGAAAGCAUUCGGCAAGUACUUCUCCAUUAAUCAAGAACGAAAGUUUGGGGUUCGAAGACGAUCAGAUACCGUCGUAGUCCAAACCAUAAAUGAUGUCGAUCAGGGAUCGGUAGUAAAUUCUUAUCGGAACCUUGUGAGAAAUCAUGAAUGUUUGGACUCUGGGGGGAGUAUGGUCGCAAGGCUGAAACUUAAAGGAAUUGACGGAAGGGCACACAAUGGAGUGGAACCUGCGGCUUAAUUUGACUCAACUCGGGAAAACUUACCAAGCUCAGAUAUAAUAAGGAUUGACAGACUAAAAGAUCUUUCAUGAUUGUAUAAGUGGUGGUGCAUGGUCGUUCUUAGUUGGUGGAGUGAUUUGUCUGGUCAAUUCCGAUAACGGACGAGACGUCUACUUGCUAACUAGUAGGAUUUAUUUUUCCAAAUGGGGGAUAGUUAGUUGGUGGUGUGGGUAUUCCAUUGAUUAGUGUGUACUCUGGAUUGAUAGAUCUUCUUAGAAGGACUACCUACCUCAAGUAGGGGGAAAUCGGACGCAAUAACAGGUCUGUGAUGCCCUUAGAUACCUUGGGCUGCACGCGCGCUACAAUGCAGCAUAGAAAAAGGCCGUUGCUGGAAAGCAAUGGUAAUCAAAAAUAUACUACGUAAUAGGGAUUGAUCUUUGUAAUUAUCGAUCAUAAACGAGGAAUUCCUUGUAAGCGUAAUUCAUUACAUUACGCUGAAUAUGUCCCUGCCCUUUGUACACACCGCCCGUCGCUCCUACCGAUCGAAUGAUUGGGUAAAACUGACAGAUUAGAAGUUAUUUAAAUCUCAUUGUUUAGAGGAAGGAGAAGUCGUAACAAGGUAUCCGUAGG
rnacentral:rRNA from 1 species